ACACACACACACACACACACGCACACACACACACACACACACACACACACACACACACACACACACACACACCUUUUCCUUUUCUUCUUCAUCUCGUCCACGUUCCUCACUUAAAGGAGAUCAAACAAUCUUCUGAAAUAAAAAGGCAACGACAAGCAAGUUUACUGACAGAUUAAUUUCCUUUUCCAUCUCCAGCGGAGCUCUCAACAUGGAUAAGAUUACCAUUCUCUUCAUUAGCUUACUGGUGCUACUGCCGCUGGGGGUCGAGAGCGAGCCAUUAACGGCGUCUUUUGCCAUCCAUCCGGCUAUUUUGGCAGCCUUUCAGAUCGGGGCGGCGAACUAUGCAGACCGCAAGAGGAAAGAGGAAGAGAGGAAUCUUUUCAAAAAUGGAGACGAAAAAGAUUAA